CCUACGGGAGGCAGCAGUGAGGAAUAUUGGUCAAUGGUCGGGAGACUGAACCAGCCAAGCCGCGUGAGGGAUGAAGGUACAGAGUAUCGUAAACCUCUUUUGUCAGGGAACAAAGGCGGGGACGUGUCCCCGGAUGAGUGUACCUGAAGAAAAAGCAUCGGCUAACUCCGUGCCAGCAGCCGCGGUAAUACGGAGGAUGCGAGCGUUAUCCGGAUUUAUGGGGUUUAAAGGGUGCGCAGGCGGUAUGGUAAGUCAGCGGUCAAAGCCCGGGGCUCAACCCCGGCCCGCCGUUGAAAAUGGCAGUCUCGAGUUGGAGAGAAGUAUGCGGAAUGCGCGGUGUAGCGGUGAAAUGCAUAGAUAUCGCGCAGAACUCCGAUUGCGAAGGCAGCAUGCCGGCUCCACACUGACGCUGAGGCACGAAAGCGUGGGUAUCGAACAGGAUUAGAUACCCGAGUAGUC
rnacentral:rRNA from 1 species